rnacentral:rRNA from 1 species
GAUCUAGCCAUGCCGCGUGAGUGAAGAAGGUCUUAGGAUCGUAAAGCUCUUUCGCCAGGGAUGAUAAUGACAGUACCUGGUAAAGAAACCCCGGCUAACUCCGUGCCAGCAGCCGCGGUAAUACGGAGGGGGUUAGCGUUGUUCGGAAUUACUGGGCGUAAAGCGCGCGUAGGCGGACUUUUAAGUUAGAGGUGAAAUCCCAGGGCUCAACCCUGGAACUGCCUUUAAUACUGGAAGUCUUGAGUUCGAGAGAGGUGAGUGGAAUUCCGAGUGUAGAGGUGAAAUUCGUAGAUAUUCGGAGGAACACCAGUGGCGAAGGCGGCUCACUGGCUCGAUACUGACGCUGAGGUGCGAAAGUGUGGGGAGCAAACAGGAUUAGAUACCCUGGUAGUCCACACCGUAAACGAUGAAUGCCAGACGUCGGGUAGCAUGCUAUUCGGUGUCACACCUAACGGAUUAAGCAUUCCGCCUGGGGAGUACGGUCGCAAGAUUAAAACUCAAAGGAAUUGACGGGGGCCCGCACAAGCGGUGGAGCAUGUGGUUUAAU